GAAAUACAAAAUAAUUUACAAUUAAAAUUAAAGUAAAAGUGAAUUUCACCAUGGCCGAGGGCUGCCACUACCAAAAUAUUCUUUAUAAAUUUUUUUUAAUUAAAGUAAAAAAUAAAAAUAAAUUAAAAUGAAAAAUAAAAUAAAUUAAAAUGAAAAAUAAAAGUAAAUUAAAAUGAAAUACAAAAUACUGAUUUACAAUUAAAAUUACAAAGUAAAAGUGAAUUUCACCAUGGCCGAGGGCUGCCACUACCAUAAUGCACAGCGACCCGAGAGCUGACUCAUUAAAAUUCCUUUGUUGUGACAAAAUGGCGGGCAAUUCUGAUAUCAGAGAAGCACCUUGGAAAGAUGAUGAAAAUCUUAAAGAAGCUUUGUCAAAUUAUGUUCAGCAAGGAUUAAAAAGAAGUGAGGUACUAGACUUUGUUACUCGCGACUUUCCUCAAUAUACGUGGAGUCUCAGGUCGCUCGAUAGACGUCUUCGCCAUUUCGAGUUGUUUUAUAAUGACCAAAAUAUUGGAGUCUCGGAUGUAAUCGAAGCGGUGCAAACUGAAUUGAACGGCCCGGGUAUGCUUUUAGGUUACAGGGCCAUGCACAAAAAAAUCAGGAUAGAACAUGGUCUUAAUGUUACAAGGGAUAAAGUCUAUGAUGUGAUGACCGAGCUUGACCCAGAGCGACUUGAAAUCAGAGGUGGCGUUGGUGGCAAGAAGAAAAGAAAGAAGGGGCAUUUCACGACAAAGGGAACGAAUUGGAUGCAUGCACUUGAUGGUCAUGAUAAGCUGAUGGGAUAUCAAAAUUCCAAUUUUCCAUUGGCUAUCUAUGGAUGUAUUGACACUGCCAGUAGAAAGCUGUUAUGGUUAAGAGUUUGGAUAUCCAAUUCUGAACCAAAAUUAAUUGGGAAGUGGUACCUUGAAUAUCUCUAUGAAACGAGAAUAAUAUCAGCCAUGCUGCGAGUGGACAAGGGUACUGAGACUGGUGUCAUGGCAACCACACAUGCUUUCUUACGAAGUAAACAUGGAAAUAUGGAUCCACAUGAAACUGUUGUCUAAUGUCUAUGGCCCUUCCACCUCUAAUCAGGUAAAUUUUCUAUUUAAUUGCUAAAAUUUAUUUUUUAUUUCAUUUUCUACAUAUUUUGUAUAUUUUUUAUUUCAUUUACAUACUCAGCAGCAAUCAUGCAAGCCUUUAAUAUUGAUUAUAGACCCAAUGUACUUAAUCACGGACAAGAUUUAAUUUCAAUCCAAUUUUUAUUCAUAUCAUUAGCACUGAUGAAGAUCCGGGCUUACGGAUCGAAAGCUUUGCAGUAAUAAAUUUACGUGGUGUUUCCACAAACAAUAGUAUUAUAUGUUUAAUCGCCAUGCAAACCUACAAAGAACUUAUUACUCACCUGGGACACCUGUGCCCGGGCUCUGUAGAGCGUCUUGUUAAGGUUUAAUUUUAUGCUGCUUUAUUACUUUAAGAUUGAAAGGUGGUGGAAGGAGUUACAUGAAAGAAUGGAAAAGUAUUUCAAAGGUCAUUUGAGAUUGCUUAAACAUCAACGUC